CGGUAAUUCCCGCUCCAAUAGCGUAUACUAAAGUUGUUGCAGUUAAAAAGCUCGUAGUUGGAUUUCUGCGGGGACGGAGCGGCCGGACGCAACUUGCGUCUCGAGCUAGCGCUUUCCCCGCAUCCUGCCGCGAACCGUGCUACCAUUAGUUUGGUGGCGCUGGGGAUCGGCUCGAUUACUUUGAGAGAAAUAGAGUGUUCAAAGCAGGCCACACGCCUUGAAUAAGUUAGCAUGGAAUAAUGACUAAGGACUUUGGUUCUUUUCGUUGGUGUUCGGGACUGAAGUAAUGAUUGAUAGGGACAGUUGGGGCGGUCCGUAUUCCAAAGCGAGAGGUGAAAUUCUUAGACCUUCGGAAGACGAACAGCUGCGAAAGCGUUCCGCAAAGAUGUUCCCUUUGAUCAAGAACGAAAGUUGGGGGAUCGAAGACGAUCAGAUACCGUCGUAGUCUCAACUAUAAACUAUACCAGCUAGGGAUCGGCCAACGUUUAAUUAUUCGACUUGGUCGGCACCUUAUGAGAAAUCAAAGCAUCUGGGUUCCGGGGGGAGUAUGGUCGCAAGGCUGAAACUUAAAGGAAUUGACGGAAGGGCACCACCAGGCGUGGAGCCUGUGGCUUAAUUUGACUCAACACGGGAAAACUUACCAGGUCCAGACAUAGGAAGGGUUGACAGAUUGAUAGCUCUUUCUUGAUUCUGUGGGUGGUGGUGCAUGGCCGUUUUUAGUCGGUGAAGUGAUUUGUCUGCUUAAUUGCGUUAACGGACGAGACCCCAGCCUGCUAAAUAGCGCGGCCGAGCUUUGCUCGGUACGAGCUUCUUAGAGGGACCAUGAUGCGCGAUAGCACAAGGAAGUUUGGGGCAACAACAGGUCUGUGAUGCCCUUAGAUGUUCUGGGCCGCACACGGGCUACACUGGCGCCUGCAACGAGCAUAUCAGCUGGCCCGAGAGGGUCUUGGCUAAUCUUUGGAACCGGCGCCGUGCUUGGGAUUGACCAUUGCAAUUGUUGGUCAUGCAACGAGGAAUGCCUUGUAAACGCGAGUCAUCAGCUCGCAUUGAAUACGUCCCUGCCCCUUGUACACACCGCCC
rnacentral:rRNA from 1 species